GCUCUGGGUCCCUAGGACCUGGCACACAUAGGCGCUUAAUAAAUGUUUGUUGAAUUAAUGAGUUGAAUGUAUACUCAAAUGACAGUAGUGUGCAGGUUCUGCCUCUCCACGCCUUCAUUGUCCUCAUGCUUAGGACAGCAGCCUCUGCCUGAAGAGGGCCUGGGGAACAGUGGAAAUGGUACCUUCAUGGUGACUUCAGCAGGGUAGUCAUUACCCCAUUUUGUGGUUGCUGGAGGGUAAUGCUAGCCUGCAACACCUGCACAGCAGGACGUGAGAGGGUCUGCUAUACAUGCUAGAGUCCUCCCCAGCAUUCUGAAAAGUGCAGCAAUGGAGCCACUGUUUGAGACAGUUACUUGGUCAGGGACCUCAGGCUCUCUGCCGUUAUCUUCAGCUGGAUCAGUCACUUUCAGAGCCCUGCUCCACCUACAUCUACACCUAUGAGUUUCUAUCUAACUGUGUCUUGCUGCUGAGGUCUUGGGCUUUCCAUUCAUCUAUGUUUUUUGUCUUGAGAGAAGUCAGGCCAUGGCCUGAGAACCUCUCCUGUGUCUUGUCCUUUUACUAGAUUCAGCAAAGGUGCCCUUGGUUCCAGGGUACUUGUGCGCUCUCUGAUCUGGAACCCUUUCUUGAACCAAGGGCCCACUGCACUCCUCUACUGGCCUGGCUCCCUGGGUCUCCCAGGAUGACCAAGAGGUGCCCUGGUGAUCUGCUGGUAGGUCUGGCCGUGUGCGGAUGAGAAAAGCAAUCCUGAAACUUUGCAGGAUCUCUGAUCUGCCUAGAAUGUUAAAAUAACUUGCUGAUUCAGUUAGAAAUAACAAAACUUUUUUUUCCAUAUAAAAAAUUUCAUUUUUGCCAGCUGGACAUGUUGGUGCACACCUUUAAUUCCAGCACUAAGGAGGCAGAGACAGGUGUCUCUGGAUGUUCAAAGCCAAGCAGGUCUAGGAUAGCCAGAGCUACAUAAUAAACCCUGUCUAAAAAUACACAAACAAAACAAAACAAUAAAAAACAAAACCUUCCUUUUCCCACUUCUCAUAGAGCUGGAGAAACUUCCCUGGCACCCCCCACACACUGCUUUUCACCUCGAGUUUUCCUAGCUCCAAGUUCAAACACAGGGAAUUGUUGUGAAUGGGGGGUCCUGUAAGUGGGUGCAAACACUUGCAGCAAAGCAUAACAACUUGAAUUUGAUCUCUGGAACUCACCUAAAACUGGAAGGAAACCAAUCCCAUAAAGUUGUGUACUGACUCCAUACGUGCCACGUCACCGCCCCCCAUGUACACACUGUAAGCACACCUGCUAAUAAUAAAACUAGGGUAUUUGCUUUCAGAGUCCCUCCUACUCCUGAAAGUUCAAGAAUUGCUUUUAACCAUACUUAAAAAUUGUUUUAUGCUGUCCCUAAAAUCUGAGACAAAGAGGACAAGAUUCAUGAUAGCUUAGAAAAUGACUCUUCAUACUGGGAAUGGUGGUGCAUAGCUGUGGUAUCAGGACUUGAGAGAUGGAGGAUCCAAAAGUUUAGGGUCAGUCUGGGUAUACAGCAAGACCCCCCAUCUCCAAGAAGAUAGAACGUUCUUUCUACAUGAGGUCUGUCCACAGCCCAGAAAUAAAAUUCAGUCUGUAUUCCU
rnacentral:lncRNA from 1 species